rfam:Glycine soja cultivar W05 scaffold1357_52, whole genome shotgun sequence.
GUUCCCAGUGAUGCUGUCUUUUUGACCAUGCUAAUGCUGAUAACAUAUGAUUAUUACUUUCAUUAUACUGAGGGAACU